AUCGAACGCUGGCGGCAGGCCUAACACAUGCAAGUCGGGCGAGCGGCGGACGGGAGAGUAAUGUAUGGGGACUGCCUGAUGGCGGGGGACAACAACUGGAAACGGUAGUUAAUACCGCAAUCCAUCAGAUAACCCAUAUGGGAGUAGCUUGUAGGUGAGGUAACGGCUCACUUGGGCGACGAUCCCUGGCUGGUCUGAGAGGAUGAUCAGCCGAACUGGGACAGAGACACGGCCCAACCGCCUACGGAGGCAGCGAUGGAGAAUAGUGCACAAUGGGCGAAAGCCUGAUGCAGCCAUGCCGCGUGUAUGAGGAAGGCCUGCGGGUUGUAAAGUACUUUCAGUCGGGAGGCGUUACCGACAGAAGAAGCGCCGGCUAACUCCGUGCCAGCAGCCGCGGUAAUUC
rnacentral:rRNA from 1 species